rnacentral:lncRNA from 1 species
UUACGGCACUUGUGUUACUGACUUACUAGGAAGAGGGGGAGCCAUGCUGGUGUAGAGCCAGUGGGGAGGUGGUUUUAGAUCUAGUAUAAAAAGGGCUCGAAAAUCAGCCAAUAUUAUCACAACUUUUUGAACAGCUGAACUCGUUUAGCCUUCCUUACAGCAAAAAAUGGCCAAAUCGCUUCUGAUGAUUUUGAUGGUGUCUUUGGUGCUGCUGGCAAUUGUCAACGAGUUCGGUGGACUCGUCGAGGGAUGUAACUGCUGUGAAAAUGGCGAUUUAUCCCAAGGCAACUGUUGUCGUUGGCGUUGCGAUGGUGGAGGAUGUGGCUGCAGACCUUUCUUUGCUCUUCACUGCGGUGCACCCGACAGGUGUGGUGCAGAAUCACCCUAACCGAAAUAGUAGUUCAUCACUUGUUUUACAUGCAACCGAACUGGACCGAAUCUGUUAUCCGACCGAGAUUAUCCGAAACAACUGCAGAAUUUAAUCAAAAAAUGGGGAA